UUAUUGAUAUUAUUUCCUUCUACAGAAUGUUAGAAGCUUUAAGGCAAGAAUGUGCUCUAAAUGCUCAAGGCAGAGACUGAAAACCUUGCAGUGAUUAGUAGCUCAGGCAGCUCCGGACAACUUCAUAUGAGAUUUUUUUUUAGAGUAGCUUUUCAGUAUCCCCUUCUUUUGCUGAUGAAUGUUGAAGCUGGAGACUCAUUUACAAAUCCCCGUUCAACAUUACUGUCUCCCAGACAACCUUCAUUAAUAAUGUGUCUCUGAAGCAGGCCUUAGCAGCUAAAGCAAUCAUUGCUCUAAUCCUUUUGAGCAGCAAAGGAAGUGGAAAAAUAGGCAGAAGCCCCCACCUCCUAAUACCAUUAUGUUGGGGGUUAGGAUUUCAACAUAUGAAUUUGGAGGGGAAUACAAACUUUCAAACCAUAGCAGAUACCAAGAUGAGAAAGCUGUGGUUCCUUUUCUUAAGUAGCUUACCAGCUAAUGGGGAGAACGCAGUAUGGAGAAAUGACAUACAAGUUACUAUAGGUACAAAAAAGUAUUUUGGAAGAUGGAAGAAGAGAAAGAUGUCUUUUGGUGGUACUCAGAAAGGCAGCUUGGAGGAAAUACUUGAAGGGUGGAUAGGAUUUUGAUAGGUGGAGGUGGUAGUGAUAGAAAAGAAUAUUCCAAGUGUAUGAAGUAUAGAGGUGGGGAAGUUCAGGGUAGAGAAGUAGUAGCAGGAAUAGAAUAUAGGGGG
rnacentral:lncRNA from 10 species